rnacentral:lncRNA from 1 species
AUGUGCUGCACUUGGCUGCAUUUUGAAAGCAUGUUUAGAAGCAUCUUUUGGCCUUUACUCCUCUUCUUUGCUAUCUGCCGCUUGCUUGCUGGAGUGGAGAGGAUGAACUAUGCUGAGGGCUAUGAAGCUGAAGUACCAUGGAAAGCAGAAGGUGCUAUAAGCCCUUUCCCUGGAGAGUGUAACAACACAAUUCUUGCAUAUUCAGGUGAAGUCGUGGCUUAUGAAAGAAACCAUCUGUGUAAGAAUGUGAAGGUGCAAGAAGAAAUGAAUAAUGACCGUUCUUGUUUUAAGAUUAGUUGCAUGGCAGAACCAGUGUGAACCAGGCAGAAAGGUAAGAAGGACACCAGAAGGAGUAUUCAUGUUUGCUACAUGUGAAAUUUACUCUCUCUGACAUGAAGCUGCCAGCUAUAACUAUCAACCUGGCCACGUCAUUUCAUGUAGACCAGUCCCAUGUCAGAAAGAGAUUUCAUACUCAGCAAUAUCUGGCCCUUGAUUGAUAUACGGUUUUGUUGGCAUCAAAUUGGCUGCCCUCUUUUUUGGCAACUACACAGGUUCCGCAGGUGGCUGGGUGUCUGCCCAUGGACAUGGUUCUUUCAGAUGUCACUUUUAUUCUCUUCACCUCAAGAUACCAUGAAUUGGAUCCAAUUAUAUGUAAAUAAGUUUUCACAUAGAUGCCACAUUAGUUUCUUCUACUCUUUGCAGAUCUGAUAUGCCUAUCUUUUUCACACAUGAAACAAAGCACUUAAAUAAAG